rnacentral:rRNA from 1 species
GGUCAGAUUGAACGCUGGCGGCAUGCCUUACACAUGCAAGUCGAACGGCAGCACGGGAGCUAAUCCUGGUGACGAGUGGCGAACGGGUGAGUAAUGUAUCGGAACGUACCUUCCAGUGGGGGAUAACGUAGCGAAAGUUACGCUAAUACCGCAUAUUCUGUGCGCAGGAAAGCAGGGGACCUUCGGGCCUUGCGCUGAUUGAGCGGCCGAUAUCAGAUUAGCUAGUUGGUGAGGUAAAGGCUCACCAAGGCGACGAUCUGUGGCGGGUCUGAGAGGAUGAUCCGCCACACUGGAACUGAGACACGGUCCAGACUCCUACGGGAGGCAGCAGUGGGGAAUUUUGGACAAUGGGGGCAACCCUGAUCCAGCCAUGCCGCGUGAGUGAAGAAGGCCUUCGGGUUGUAAAGCUCUUUCGGCCGGGAAGAAAUCGCAUGGGUUAAUACCCUGUGCGGAUGA